UGGUGUACAUUGAAAAUGUGAUAAAUGUUUAGAACGAUCUCAAAGAAAGGUACUUAACAUAGUUCGUGCAUGUAGCAACUUUGUAUCAAGAAAUUUCUUCUAAUUUCAAACAUUGAGAUGUGUGCAAUGUGGGAAGAACUUUGAUCAAUUCAGGCCUAUGCAAGCCUAACAUUGUGAGGGAUAAACUAGUCACUGCUAUUUUGCAGGAGUAAAAGGUAAAGGGAACUAUUAGGAAGAUUGAUUUGGCUAAGAAAUUGGAUGGAUUAUACUACUUGAAGCCCACAACAGUCUAGAUAUCUUUGAUCCUUAUACCCUAAUUCAACUCAAG